rnacentral:rRNA from 1 species
AGGUUAAAACUCAAAUGAAUUGACGGGGGCCCGCACAAGCGGUGGAGCAUGUGGUUUAAUUCGAUGCAACGCGAAGAACCUUACCUGGUCUUGACAUCCACAGAACCUUGUAGAGAUACGAGGGUGCCUUCGGGAACUGUGAGACAGGUGCUGCAUGGCUGUCGUCAGCUCGUGUUGUGAAAUGUUGGGUUAAGUCCCGCAACGAGCGCAACCCUUAUCCUUUGUUGCCAGCGGUCCGGCCGGGAACUCAAAGGAGACUGCCAGUGAUAAACUGGAGGAAGGUGGGGAUGACGUCAAGUCAUCAUGGCCCUUACGACCAGGGCUACACACGUGCUACAAUGGCGCAUACAAAGAGAAGCGACCUCGCGAGAGCAAGCGGACCUCAUAAAGUGCGUCGUAGUCCGGAUUGGAGUCUGCAACUCGACUCCAUGAAGUCGGAAUCGCUAGUAAUCGUGGAUCAGAAUGCCACGGUGAAUACGUUCCCGGGCCUUGUACACACCGCCCGUCACACCAUGGGAGUGGGUUGCAAAAGAAGUAGGUAGCUUAACCUUCGGGAGGGCGCUUACCACUUUGUGAUUCAUGACUGGGGUGAAGUCGUAACAAGGUAACCGUAGGGGAACCUGCGGUUGGAUCACCUCCUUACCUUAAAGAAGC